rnacentral:rRNA from 1 species
UACAGAGGGGGCAAGCGUUAUUCGGAAUUAUUGGGCGUAAAGGGCGCGUAGGCGGCUUUGCAAGUGGCGGGUGAAAUCCCUCGGCUUAACCGAGGAACUGCCUGCCAGACUGUAAGGCUCGAGACCGGGAGAGGUGAGUGGAAUUCCCAGUGUAGCGGUGAAAUGCGUAGAUAUUGGGAGGAACACCAGUGGCGAAGGCGGCUCACUGGACCGGAACUGACGCUGAGGCGCGAAAGCGUGGGGAGCAAACAGG